AUUUCAACAUCACAGGUAUUGCCUUUUGCCUUUCAGACAUCCCUCUAUUGGCACUUUCCCAUCAAGCAAAAGCAACUACCACCCUCUCUCCUCCUUCAAGCACUUUGUCUCCUUUUUCUUUGUUCUGGUUUUUUAAUAUGUCUUGUGGGCUUGGGAGAAAAAGAGCAUGAAAGAACACAUGUAGCGAUCUCACUUGUCAUUGUGCUUUAUUUUUGUUGAUCUUGGUUUUAGAGGGUAGAUUCACUCUAGGAGGGUUGGAAUGACAAGGAGUUUAAUUCCAGAAGUGGCAAGUAUAAAGGGACAGGUAAGUUUCAUUUAGAUCUUAUAUGACUCGAUGAUCUAAAUAUGUAUCGACUGCAAUUUUGAUGAAAUUAACAUCAGUGGAAGGUCAAAAUAUACUCCUAGAACUUGUGAAUCUGGUCCCUGUUUUAGGGGACCAUAACAUUGAGUAUUCCUUUAAAACUAUUUGGUUUUGAAAGUUUCUGCAUCAAGAUCUCGACUCCAUUGUAGGAACAUCAAUAUUUCAGACCAGAUUAUAGCUUUCUGGUUUGCAGUUGAGCACCCUCUUACAGCAUAACAACUCACAUUGUUUGUGUGGGAGUGCAUCCAUAGCUUGUGAAGUGGAUAACAGGAACUUGAAAUUGAUAAGAGAACUUGGUGCCACUCAGGUGCAUCAUAUCAUCUAAGUGGAAAAAAAGAAGGCUAUUAUUCUAGCCAGCAAGUAGCAACCAGUGUUUUGCUCCACAAGAACGAGGGCGAACAGUUUUAAGGUCCUGUGGUUUUUCUGUGGGGACUGAUAAACCUUGACAGUGGAACUUAAAUGUAUUUUGGGACAUUGAACACACAGUCAAGAUUGCCAAAAAUUCAGAACUUGAGGGUUUAUUGGGUUGGUGUGAUGGAAGGUGGAGCAAGGAGAAACACAUUAGCAAGUGGAUCAAGCAGCAACAAUAUAAUUAAAAGGCCUCAGCAGCAUGGGCUCGACCGCAAAGCCUUCUCUUCGAACUAUUUCAGCAUGGAAUCAUUUCUGGUACUCAUCUGCCUCACUGCAUCAUUACUGAUUCUUCCACUAAUUCUGCCUCCAUUGCCUCCACCACCUUUCUUGUUGUUGCUGCUUCCUAUAUGCAUACUUCUUGUGUUAAUAGUCUUGGCUUUCAUGCCCUCUGAUAUCCGGAAUAUCGCCUCCUCAUACCUGUAAAGAAGCUUGAUUUUACAUUGAAAUGAGUGGAAUGUGUCUUUCUAUUUAUUUUUGAAUGGUAAGAUCAACACUUACAAAUUAAAUUGUUCUGGCAUUCAGUGAAUUUUCCUGCUAAAAUGGUGGUGAUUACAUGCCCAUGGAAUGAAAUAUCUUGAAUUUCGAUUAACCUUCAAAUCACAGUGUGAUGAAUUCAGACCAUUUCUUAAUGAUGAACUGCUGAAUCCAUGGUAAAACUUGCAUACUUUGCUAAUUUUUUAAUGUUUGCAUUCCAUAGCCAAGUAUUGCCGGUUUGACAAAGAAAGUGAAACCUAAGAAUCUUAAGCAUAUGGAUAGGUAUUUUAUUAUAUGAUUGAGAUUAAUCUAUUCUUGUUUCGAUGACACAAGCGUCGUCAAAACUUUGUUAGAUACACUUAAAUAAAAACAGAUGGUUGCAACUCAGAAGCCCAUGGGCUCUGAGUUCGUUGUUCUGAAACUGGCAAGCGUUUAGGAGUCUGGUCUUGUGUUCUCCAUGGAGAUAAACUGGGUAGGACAAAGGUAUAUGGAUUGCUCCAAAUUUGUGAUAGAUCGGACACAGACAGAAGAAAGAUUCUGUCGCUUCGUCAGCAGUUAGGAAUGGAUCACGAAACUUGAGAUAGAUCCGA